rnacentral:lncRNA from 1 species
UAGACCUAAACUUGUGGGAUGAAAACUUGAUCUGAAGUCUAAGUUGUUAACGGAUACGAUAUGGGAAGGUUGAGUUGCUGCUUAUCUGUUCCUAGAGAUGCUAGAAUUCUAGAGAUUUUUAUCUUUGAAAAUCUUUAAAAUGUUGCAUGAUGAGUUCCUGUAUGAUGAGAGUUUAAAUUCCUACCACAACCAUAUAUACAUGCUUGCUAGACUUUGAGCCACACAUUUACUAUUUACUGCUUAUGAGCAUUGAGUGUGGUCAAGCUGUGUAGACCCUUAGGAGCUUGUCAUGUGGUUAAAUCAAGAUUUCACUUGCACGUUCACUCAUAUAUGCUACUUCUACUCCGGAAGUACCAUCCACAUAUAUCCACCCAUUUCCAUCUCCAGAACCACCUAAAAAUAUUCGACUCCUAAUCCGGGAGAGAAUAACAAAAAUAUUUUUGUUUUCCUUAUGAAAUAAAUGCUCAAGUUAUCUUGUUACUACCACUUGCUAUAUUAUCUCAAGAAGAUGAGUGCUCUAAAAAAAGAGAAGAAAAGAUACGAGGAAAUAAAAAGGGGCAAGUGCCCGGAACCUCGAAAGAAAAAAAAAGUGAGACGAGAGGUAAAAAUGGACAAGUGUCCGACAGUAGAAUUAGGGGUACAAGAUACCCACCUGAGAGGAAAGAAAAAGAAGAGCAUUUCAUUCUCCUCAUAAAGUUUUGAAAAGCAAGAAAGGUAUGUAUCCCCUCAAAGAGCAAAAGUAGAAUUAGACUUUCACCAUUGUUACCACCAUCAUCACCAUACACCAUUCAUUCGUCACACAUGCACAUCUUGAUUUGACUUAUUGAUUUGUUUCUUUGGAUCCAUGGUUUGACUAUGCAAUACAUGUCUUAUAAGUAUGUAUAGGUUAUCUCCCACCUAUGAGCUCCAGAUAUUAAAGCCUUAUUAGAAUAGGGUGAGAGAGAAGGCAAUGUCACUAUGCCCUAUACCACAAAUACUACAUAUAUUGAGAGAAGGCAUAUACCAUCACUGCCUUGGUAAGGAUCCAGAAAUACCACAAAAGAGAGAUCUGAGAGAGUCAUACAAGGAAUCUCUGAGUUUUAUUUGAAAAUCUGCAAAAAACUCUAGAGCUAUAGUUGAUCAAGAAUAAGAGAUAUGGCACUUGGCUAGACUGUUCUAUCUUUUAACUACUC